UGGGGAAUCUUGCGCAAUGGGCGAAAGCCUGACGCAGCGACGCCGCGUGAGGGAUGACGGCCUUCGGGUUGUAAACCUCUUCAGCCCUGACGAAGCGAGAGUGACGGUAGGGGCAGAAGAAGCACCGGCCAACUACGUGCCAGCAGCCGCGGUAAUACGUAGGGUGCAAGCGUUGUCCGGAAUUAUUGGGCGUAAAGAGCUCGUAGGCGGUCUGUCGCGUCGGCUGUGAAAACUCGGGGCUCAACUUCGAGCUUGCAGUCGAUACGGGCAGGCUAGAGUUCGGCAGGGGAGACUGGAAUUCCUGGUGUAGCGGUGAAAUGCGCAGAUAUCAGGAGGAACACCGGUGGCGAAGGCGGGUCUCUGGGCCGAUACUGACGCUGAGGAGCGAAAGCGUGGGGAGCGAACAGGAUUAGAUACC
rnacentral:rRNA from 1 species